rnacentral:misc_RNA from 1 species
AAGUCGUAACAAGGUUUCCGUAGGUGAACCUGCGGAAGGAUCAUUACAUGAUAUCACAGGGAGUUGGUACCACGAAAGUGCGCCAACUCUGUCUGCAUAUUAUACCCAUGAUUUUGCGUACCAUUUGUUUCCUUGGUGGGCUUGCCCACCAAUAGGACACCAAACAACCCUUUGUAAUUGCAGUCAGCGUCAGAAAACUAUAAUAAUUACAACUUUUAACAACGGAUCUCUUGGUUCUG